rnacentral:rRNA from 1 species
UACGUAGGGUGCGAGCGUUGUCCGGAAUUAUUGGGCGGAAAGAGCUUGUAGGCGGUUUGUCGCGUCUGCUGUGAAAAUCCGGGGCUCAACCCCGGACUUGCAGUGGGUACGGGCAGACUAGAGUGUGGUAGGGGAGACUGGAAUUCCUGGUGUAGCGGUGGAAUGCGCAGAUAUCAGGAGGAACACCGAUGGCGAAGGCAGGUCUCUGGGCCACUACUGACGCUGAGAAGCGAAAGCAUGGGGAGCGAACAGG